CAGCACCAGCCCGCAUCCACAUCUGAGGGCCAAGUCGGGGAGUGGGGCCGUGCCGGGGGCGUUUCCGGCCCCGGGCAGCAACUGAUCUCAGCCCACCGCAGAUCUGCCCUUUGCAGCCACAGACAGAGCCGGCUGAGGCCGGCACUCUUAGCCGUUUGGGGGCCAUAGAAGGUGCGGGGAACAGAAGGUGGGGGUCAAGGUGCUGACCAGGCAUCCCCACUGCUGGGGGCUCAGGUGCAGGACAGGGGCCCCACGCCUGGUGGCUCUGCCCCCCACGAUGCUCCGGACGGUCCCCACAGCCAU